GACGAACGCUGGCGGCGUGCCUAAUACAUGCAAGUUGAGCGAUGAAGAUUGGUGCUUGCACCAAUUUGAAGAGCAGCGAACGGGUGAGUAACGCGUGGGGAAUCUGCCUUUGAGCGGGGGACAACAUUUGGAAACGAAUGCUAAUACCGCAUAACAACUUUAAACAUAAGUUUUAAGUUUGAAAGAUGCAAUUGCAUCACUCAAAGAUGAUCCCGCGUUGUAUUAGCUAGUUGGUGAGGUAAAGGCUCACCAAGGCGAUGAUACAUAGCCGACCUGAGAGGGUGAUCGGCCACAGUGGGACUGAGACACGGCCCAAACUCCUACGGGAGGCAGCAGUAGGGAAUCUUCGGCAAUGGACGAAAGUCUGACCGAGCAACGCCGCGUGAGUGAAGAAGGUUUUCGGAUCGUAAAACUCUGUUGGUAGAGAAGAACGUUGGUGAGAGUGGAAAGCUCAUAAAGUGACGGUAACUACCCAGAAAGGGACGGCUAACUACGUG
rnacentral:rRNA from 1 species